GUUAUAGGGACAAGUGAAUAAGUGCACAUGGUGGAUGCCUUGGCGAUUACAGGCGAUGAAGGACGUAGUAGCUUGCGAUAAGCUGCGGGGAGCUAGCAAACAAGCUUUGAUCCGCAGAUUUCCGAAUGGGGAAACCCGGCCUUUUAGGUCAUUGCAUACUGAAUACAUAGGUAUGCAAAGCGAACGCGGCGAACUGAAACAUCUAAGUAGCUGCAGGAAAAGAAAUCAACCGAGAUUCCCAAAGUAGUGGCGAGCGAAAUGGGAUGAGCCUGUACGUUUUAGCAUGACGCAUAACAGAAUCCUCUGGAAAUAGGAGCCAUAGCGGGUGAUAGCCCCGUAUGUGAAAUGCGAUGUGUGGAACUAAGCGUACGACAAGUAGGGCGGGACACGAGAAAUCCUGUCUGAAUAUGGGGGGACCAUCCUCCAAGGCUAAAUACUCGUAAUCGACCGAUAGUGAACCAGUACCGUGAGGGAAAGGCGAAAAGAACCCCGGGAG
rnacentral:rRNA from 1 species